rnacentral:rRNA from 1 species
GAGUUUGAACCUGGCUCAGGAUAAACGCUGGCGGCAUGCCUAACACAUGCAAGUCGAACGGAGCGCCUUGGAAGGAGACUUCGGUCAACGGAAGAGGAGGCUUAGUGGCGGACGGGUGAGUAACGCGUGAGGAACCUGCCUCAGAGAGGGGGAUAACACACCGAAAGGUGUGCUAAUACCGCAUAACAUAUGAGAGGGGCAUCCCUUUCAUAUCAAAGAUUUAUUGCUCUGAGAUGGCCUCGCGUCCAAUUAGCUAGUUGGUGAGGUAACGGCCCACCAAGGCGACGAUUGGUAGCCGGACUGAGAGGUUGAACGGCCACAUUGGGACUGAGACACGGCCCAGACUCCUACGGGAGGCAGCAGUGGGGAAUAUUGCACAAUGGGGGGAACCCUGAUGCAGCAAUGCCGCGUGAAGGAUGAAGGUUUUCGGAUUGUAAACUUCUUUUGUACGGGACGAAGAAAGUGACGGUACCGUAAGAAUAAGCCACGGCUAACUACGUGCCAGCAGCCGCGGUAAUACGUAGGUGGCAAGCGUUAUCCGGAUUUACUGGGUGUAAAGGGCGAGUAGGCGGGAUUGCAAGUCAGAUGUGAAAACUAUGGGCUCAACCGAUAGAGUGCAUUUGAAACUGCAGUUCUUGAGUGAUGGAGAGGCAGGCGGAAUUCCCGGUGUAGCGGUGGAAUGCGUAGAUAUCGGGAGGAACACCAGUGGCGAAGGCGGCCUGCUGGACAUUAACUG